rnacentral:lncRNA from 1 species
GUUCACUCGGAGAGUCGACCAGCUAGUAACAAUAAUUUAUUAGAUCCAUAAUCUCUUAUAUAUCUAAUCAUAAUCUAAUUCUCAAAAUUAUCAGGUGAUAACCGACCGUUCCUAGAACAAGUGGCAAAGGACUUGGUGGUUGAUAUUGGAGACCCAAGUUCGAAUCUUAGUUGAUUCAUAUUUUCAGCUAAGUUUAUUUCUAAAUGAAAUAAAUGAAGCGGGUAACGUGCCACCUAUCUCUCUCAAAAAAAAAAUGAAGAAAGAUUAUUAGAUGAUAUAAGACUUGUUUGAUUAGCAACAGUCCAAGAUUAUCAGAUGAUAUAAGAGUAUUCGAGACCCAAGUUCGAAUCUUAGUUGAUUCACAUUUUCAGCUAAGUUUAUUUCUAAAUAAAAUAAAUGAAGCGGGUAACGUGCCACCUAUCUCUCUCAAAAAAAAAUGAAGAAAGAUUAUCAGAUGAUAUAAGACUUGUUUGAUUAGCAACAGUCCAAGAUUAUCAAAUGAUUUGAGACUUGUCUUGUUAGUUUUGUAUUCUAAUUCAGCCUAUCACCUUGUGAUUUUGAUCUUGACUUAGCAUGUCCUCUUAUAUAUCCAAUCAUAAUCCAAUUCUCAUCUAAUGUGGGACUAUAUAUAGGCCAUGACGUCUCACACACACAGCCCAAAAUCCAAUGAUGUGAGAUUUGUUUGACUAGCUACAGCCCAAAAUCAUCAUGUGAUGUGAGGCUAGUCUUGUUGUUUUGUCAGUUCGAUCAUGACUUAGUUUGUCAUCCUACCAUUUCAAUUGUGGCUUAGUCUGUUAUUCCGACCUACUUCUGACCGGUAAUCGACUUUGAUAUCAAAUAUAAUGAUCCGAUCCACUAAUAAUAAUAACUUGUUACGUCUAAACCACUAGUUCAAAAUAUUUAAAUCUAAUUAUUAUUAUAUUACUAGUGUCCAUAAUCUCUUAUAUAUUCAAUCACAAUUCACCAUCUAUUCACUACGAAAUUAUUAAAGUGUCACACAAAAUCAAAAAAAUUCAAUUACACA